ensembl:lncRNA
CUUCUUUCCAGUGUGUUUUCCAUCUUCCUGCUACUUAAUCAUAAAUUGCACACACAGACUGACCCAAAGCAACUCUCCUCUAUAGGACAUAUCCAGCAACAGCACUCAACAUCCGUGUGGCCUAGAAGAUCUGCUUACAUCCAGAGACAACAUCAGUGUCUAAACACCUCUGUCAAACUUAUUAACACAUGCAAGACCUCACCUGCUGCACUGCUGUAAAAUGGGGAGACAUCUGGGACAGCAAUUCACAGGUGGAGAAGGGAUCAUCAUUCUGGUGUUCUGCCAAGAGCUGCACCUUCCACUGAGAGGUUUCACACAGACUGCUCACUUACUAAAGCUUUAGAAAGGAUGUCAGCUAAAGACCACCUCCAGCUGUGGGCAGUGACUUCUAAACUCUUUCAGGUGUCCCGGAUAUUUAUCGGUCUGGAAAGAGUCCUCUCUUACAUUAAACUGUUGCACUGCAUCUUCAGUGCACGCUACUCACCCUGUCAAACUGCUGAGCAACAGUCUUCACGUUGCACAGUGCCACUACUGCCCUUCUCAAGAUGCCAGGGUGUUCAUGAAGUCAGCAGC